UGUGCACUUGCGGGGGUCCCUCAGCCCGGAUUGCGAGAGGUCACAGGCCAGGCUGAGGGACCCCACAGUGCAUG
rnacentral:pre_miRNA from 1 species